AGCAAAGAGGUAUGUCGCCCUGUAGGAACUGUAUGUCACUUUAGGGUGAUUAGGCUGACAUGCAUUUCCCUGAUGGAAA
rnacentral:pre_miRNA from 8 species